rnacentral:rRNA from 1 species
UACGAAGGGGGCGAGCGUUGUUCGGAUUUACUGGGCGUAAAGGGCGCGCAGGCGGCGCAUUUUGUCAGGCGUGAAAUCCCCGGGCUUAACCUGGGAAUGGCAUUUGGGACUGCAAGGCUCGAGUGCGGCAGAGGAGACUGGAAUUCCUGGUGUAGCAGUGAAAUGCGUAGAUAUCAGGAAGAACACCCGUGGCGAAGGCGGCUCUCUGGGACGGUACUGACGCUGAGACGCGAAAGCGUGGGGAGCGAACAGG